rnacentral:lncRNA from 1 species
AUGAAUUGGAUUUAUUAUCAAACAAAUCACAGCAGGAGAAUGAAAAGUGGAAUGCGUCCUAAAAGUGACACCUUCCCCCGACCUCUGCCUCCUUCCCGAGCUUCCCUUUAUCCCCGAUUCCCUCCCUCCUCCCCACCCAGGGGCACAGGGGAUGGGGGUCGCAGUCAGGUCAUGUCACUGCCUCCCCCUCAGGGACAGGAAUCCUUGUCCUGCUCCAGCCUGGGGUCCCUGCCGCGGGACACAGUCCCUCAGGAGCAGGCUGCUCCAGCGGGGAUCCCCCACGAGCUCACGAGUCCCGCCAGGAGCCACUUCCACGGCUCUGCAGGGGCUUCCCACGGGCUCAGGGCUCUUCUCAGGCAUCCCCUGCUCCGGCCCGGGCUCCUGCCGGGGCUGCAGGUGGGUCCCUGCUCCAUCCCGGACUCACCCGCAGUUCCCAGCGCCUUCAGCUCCCGGUCACACGGAGCUCCGGGCGGUUCAGGGCAGCAGCGGCUCCGUGGCCUCCGGCCCGGGCCGGGCCCAGCGCCAAAAACAACCCGCAGCCAAGGUUUCCGAGAAAUGGCGGAGUGCGGGGAAAGGGAGGGGGUUCCUUGCCGUGUGCAGAGCCCGCCCCUCGCUCCGAUUGGGCGGUGCUGCCGUCAGUCGUGGUUCUGGCGCGCUGAUUGGUCGGAGCGGGGAGCAGCCCGGGCCCGGAGCCGCCGGCAGGGCGGCCGUGGCGCAGCAGAGGCGCCAUUGGCGGAGCGUCUGUGCGGGCCCGGGAGCGGCGGCGGCGGCGGCCGGAGCCCGGUGAGGCGGCGGCGGAGCUCGGAGGCGGCCCCAGCGCAGCGUCCGCGGACGGGGCAGCCACCUCUGUCCUACCCACAGCAGCCGGGACGAGCCGGCGCUGCUCCGGCACCGGCUCCUGCCGAGGCAGCAGCGGGAAGGAGACCGCGGGCAGCCGCUCCCGCAGCGCCCUCACGCCAGGGCGAACACGGCGCCCACACGGCACAACGAACCCGCCACAGCCCCCUGCCGCCCCCUCCGCCCGCAGCCAGCCCCGAGCCCCGCCAGAACCGAGCGCGGCUCCCACCUGCGCUGGGGCCGCCUCCGAGCUCUGCCGCCGCCUCAGCGGUGGUUCCCAGUCACCCCCAGUAUGAUCCUGGUCACUCCCAGCAUCAUCCCGGUCGCUUACAGUCACUCCCCCUGUGUUUUCAGUAUGGUCCCAGGUGCUCCCAAUAA